rnacentral:lncRNA from 1 species
UUUUUGUAGUGUACACUUAUCCUUUGGAGUCCGAUGUAUAAUAGAUCAAAUUCAUGGUUUCAUUCCUAAAUUUAUAACUAGAAUGAAUAAAAGAAUAAAGAAUGGAUUUUGAAAAUGACCUAUUUGUUUUAGUAAAAUUAAAAAAUGUCCACUAAAAUAAAAAAAAUUUAAAAAUGGCCACACUUACUAAUUUACCCUUUUCCUUAAAAAACAAAAAAAAUAUGUACUCCCCCGUGCCCUGCCCAACCCCCACGAUCCCCCACCCAAUUUUUUUUUU